CUUUAAGGCGACGGAGCUAACCACGACACAACGCUACGCUGUCAAAAUUCGCGCACAAUUAAGUACACACUGUGUACACAACUAUGCGAAUUGACACACAGCACAAGGAGCUACAACUGGAGAGCAAAGACCCGCCCCUAGGGAGGGCGUAUACACGUUUGAGAGCAUUUAAUUGGAUGAAAACAAGACUAGUACAAACUGAGUCAUCAAAAAUUUUAGUCAUGUUUUAUGAGUGACAAACUGGAACAAGGAAACGAAACACUUUUCAUGAUACGCUAAUUGUACUGUGGUCUAUAACACUAAGGAGAAGCAACACCGGACAACCAACCACUCACUGAGGCCGCCAUUAUACAGCUCGCGAGCAGAGCCCAGGGUUGCCAGAUCUAUGCGGUACAAACUCAGAAAUCAGAAUCAGAAACACUUUGAUUGCCAGGGGAGACCGGAGCACCCGGAGGAAACCCACGCGGACACGGAGAGAACAUGCAAACUCCGCACAGAAAGGCCCUCGCCGGCCACGGGGCUCGAACCCGGACCUUCUUGCUGUGAAGCGACAGCGCUAACCACUACACCACCGUGCCACCCCUGUGUGUGUGUGUAUGUAUGUGUGUAUAUAUAUAUAUAUAUAUAUAUGAGUGUUUAGUCUACGUCUAGUUCAUAUCUAGAGUGUUUAUACUGUUUAUAUUGUCUGAGUGUUUAGUCUGUGUGUAGUUCUUAUCUAGUGUUUACACUGUUUAUAUUGUCUCAGUGUUUAGUCUGUGUUGUUCUUAUCUAGUGUUUAUACUGUUUAUUUAUACUGUUUAUAUUGUUUGAGUGUUUAGUCUAUGUCUAGUUCCUAUCUAGAGUGUUUAUACUGUUUAUAUUGUUUGUUUUUUUCAAUUAUUCUAUUUUUAUUUAUUCCAUUGCCUGUGUGCACCGUGGGUCAGAGAGGACUCAUAUUUCAU